rnacentral:tRNA from 1 species
GGAAGGUAUGCCCCCGGCUGGGGCACCCGGUCUUGAAAACCGGCAGACAGUAACCAUUCUGGGGGUUCGACACCUCUACCUUCCGCCA